GACGAACGCUGGCGGCGUGCUUAACACAUGCAAGUCGAACGGAAAGGCCCUGCUUUUGUGGGGUGCUCGAGUGGCGAACGGGUGAGUAACACGUGAGUAACCUGCCCUUGACUUUGGGAUAACUUCAGGAAACUGGGGCUAAUACCGGAUAGGAGCUCCUGCUGCAUGGUGGGGGUUGGAAAGUUUCGGCGGUUGGGGAUGGACUCGCGGCUUAUCAGCUUGUUGGUGGGGUAGUGGCUUACCAAGGCUUUGACGGGUAGCCGGCCUGAGAGGGUGACCGGCCACAUUGGGACUGAGAUACGGCCCAGACUCCUACGGGAGGCAGCAGUGGGGAAUAUUGCACAAUGGGCGGAAGCCUGAUGCAGCAACGCCGCGUGCGGGAUGACGGCCUUCGGGUUGUAAACCGCUUUCGCCUGUGACGAAGCGUGAGUGACGGUAAUGGGUAAAGAAGCACCGGCUAACUACGUGCCAGCAGCCGCGGUGAUACGUAGGGUGCGAGCGUUGUCCGGAUUUAUUGGGCGUAAAGGGCUCGUAGGUGGUUGAUCGCGUCGGAAGUGUAAUCUUGGGGCUUAACCCUGAGCGUGCUUUCGAUACGGGUUGACUUGAGGAAGGUAGGGGAGAAUGGAAUUCCUGGUGGAGCGGUGGAAUGCGCAGAUAUCAGGAGGAACACCAGUGGCGAAGGCGGUUCUCUGGGCCUUUCCUGACGCUGAGGAGCGAAAGCGUGGGGAGCGAACAGGCUUAGAUACCCUGGUAGUCCACGCUGUAAACGGUGGGUACUAGGUGUGGGGUCCAUUCCACGGGUUCCGUGCCGUAGCUAACGCUUUAAGUACCCCGCCUGGGGAGUACGGCCGCAAGGCUAAAACUCAAAGGAAUUGACGGGGCCCCACACAAGCGGCGGAGCAUGCGGAUUAAUUCGAUGCAACGCGUAGAACCUUACCUGGGUUUGACAUGGAUCGGGAGUGCUCAGAGAUGGGUGUGCCUCUUUUGGGGUCGGUUCACAGGUGGUGCAUGGCUGUCGUCAGCUCGUGUCGUGAGAUGUUGGGUUAAGUCCCGCAACGAGCGCAACCCUUGUUCACUGUUGCCAGCACGUUAUGGUGGGGACUCAGUGGAGACCGCCGGGGUCAACUCGGAGGAAGGUGGGGAUGACGUCAAGUCAUCAUGCCCCUUAUGUCCAGGGCUUCACGCAUGCUACAAUGGCUGGUACAGAGAGUGGCGAGCCUGUGAGGGUGAGCGAAUCUCGGAAAGCCGGUCUCGGUUCGGAUUGGGGUCUGCAACUCGACCUCAUGAAGUCGGAGUCGCUAGUAAUCGCAGAUCAGCAACGCUGCGGUGAAUACGUUCCCGGGGCU
rnacentral:rRNA from 1 species